rnacentral:lncRNA from 1 species
CGGUUGGACUUUAAACUCAGAUAUGCAAAGUUUAGCCAAGUGAUUCCAAGCUAUGUGGGCAGUUUGGAAGUGUUUAAUUUGAUCGAAAAUGUUUGGUGCACAUGAUAGUUGAAUGAUAUGCAGAGCCUCUGCGUCUUUCUGUGCAUCAAUGGGUGUGGAUGCAGAACCACUCUCCACAACAUCCCACAGAUUUUUCCCUCUCAGAUAAUUUUUCAUUAGAAUUUUCCAUUCUUGAUAAUUGUAUCUUGUGAGCUCUUCACGAACUAUUCCGCGGGAUGCAACACCAAUG